CCCUUAGAUGUUCUGGGCUGCACGCGCGCUACACUGAAGCGUUCAACGAGUAUUCACCUUGCCCGGGAGGGUUGGGUAAUCUUUUGAAAACGCUUCGUGAUGGGGAUAGAUUAUUGCAAUUAUUAAUCUUCAACGAGGAAUUCCUAGUAAGCGCGAGUCAUCAGCUCGUGCUGAUUACGUCCCUGCCCUUUGUACACACCGCCCGUCGCUCCUACCGAUUGGGUGAUCCGGUGAAUAAUUCGGACUGCAGCACUGCUUGGUCUCCAGGCUUUGCAGCGGAAAGUUUAGUGAACCUUAUCACUUAGAGGAAGGAGAANUCGUAACA
rnacentral:rRNA from 1 species